UCGAUUUGGAGUUUGUUGCCCUGAGUGAUGGGCUCCGAAGCUAACGCGAUAAAUCGACCGCCUGGGGAGUACGGCCGCAAGGUUAAAACUCAAAUGAAUUGACGGGGGCCCGCACAAGCGGUGGAGCAUGUGGUUUAAUUCGAUGCAACGCGAAGAACCUUACCUGGUUUUGACAUCCACAGAAUCUUGCAGAGAUGCGAGAGUGCCUUCGGGAACUGUGAGACAGGUGCUGCAUGGCUGUCGUCAGCUCGUGUUGUGAAAUGUUGGGUUAAGUCCCGCAACGAGCGCAACCCUUAUCCUUUGUUGCCAUCGNUUAGGNCGGGAACUCAAAGGAGACUGCCGUUGAUAAAGCGGAGGAAGGUGGGGACGACGUCAAGUCAUCAUGGCCCUUACGACCAGGGCUACACACGUGCUACAAUGGCGUAUACAAAGGGAGGCGACCUCGCGAGAGCAAGCGGACCUCAUAAAGUACGUCUAAGUCCGGAUUGGAGUCUGCAACUCGACUCCAUGAAGUCGGAAUCGCUAGUAAUCGUGAAUCAGAAUGUCACGGUGAAUACGUUCCCGGGCCU
rnacentral:rRNA from 1 species